rnacentral:lncRNA from 1 species
AUAAACUAUCCAAUCUUGCAAAUUUUAAAUUUUAUUAUCUAAUCUUUCAAUUUAUUUGAUUUGGGUCAGUCUACGGUAUUUUAAUUUUAUUAUUCAAUUUUUUAAUUAUAGCUUGCUAUUGAUUCAUUUAUUUUUUCUAAAUAAAUUUAGCUAGAAAUAUAAAGUAAUUAGAUUUUGCACUUCAAGUAACAAUCACUAAACUUUUUUUUUUUUUUUGCAUUG